UGUUAUGUCCUCAUCGUAUAAACUUUGCGAUAGCACCUGUGUUUAAAGCAUGAGCAUUUACGAGGGUUACUCCUAUCUUUAUAUUGUAGAUUCCUUUCCGUUUCAAAGAAAGAGGCCAAGAUAACUUUUGUCCCCUGGAGGAACGACGUAGCCAUCCCCUGACCUUUCCUGGUGCACCAGUUUGGAGAAUCAAGGUGCUGCCUGCAUCCCAGCAUGUACAAAGGUGCAUUUCUAUACUGACCUGGAAGAGGAAUUGCUGGAUCUGGGUAUGUGUUUCUUCACCUCUACUGUGCUCCAAAAUGGCCAUAUAUCCUUGUCAACACUUAGUAUCGUCAUACCUUUUUGUUUUUGCUAAAACAAGGGUGUGUACUCAUAUGGCUUUGUGCUUUCAUUUUGCUUUUUUCCAUUUACUAGCGAGGCUGAUCAUUCUUUCAUGUUUAUGGCUGCAGGGAUUUCCUCAUUUGUGAAAUGGAUUUUUCUCUGUGUUGUCUGCCUUUUCUGAAUUGUUCGCAGAAUUCCUUAACAUUCUGGAUCCUAGUCGUCUGUUAAUUAUAUAUGUAAGUCUCAUCUCUUCUCCCAUUCUGGGGCUUGUCUUUUAAAUUCCUUUAUGGUGUUUCUUGAUGAACAGAAAAAUUUAAUUUUGAUGUUGUCAAAUUUAUUAACCUAUCCCUUUAUGGUUGGUAGUUUUUGUGCCUUGUUUAAGAAACCUCUUUCUACCCCAAGGUCAUGAAGAUAUUUUCUAUAUUCAAUUUUAAAAACAUUGGCAUUUAAUCUCUCACAGUUAGGUCUAAAGUUCAUCUGAAUUUAAUUUUUAUGUGCAGUAUGAGGCAAAGAGCCAAAUUUUUUUUUUCUACACGGACAGUGUCCUAGUUUCAUUUAUUGAAGAGACUGUCUUUUCUACCCUGUGAUCUAUCACAUAUCCUUAUAAGUGCCGGUGUGUUUGAGUGUUCUGAUCUGUCCCUUUUAUCUAUUCUGUGCCAGUAUCAUCCCAGUUUAAUUACUGUGUCUUUAUAAAUGGAUCUUAAUGUCAGAGAAGGCAUUCAUGUUCUUCAAGGGUCUUGACUAUACUUGGCUCUUUCGGAUUUUCACUUACAAUUUUAGGAUCAACUUAGAGCCAAGUUCCAUACUCCUCCUCCAGCCCCGCACACAUACACAUAAAAUUUUGUAAACUUGAUUGGGAUUGCC
ensembl:lncRNA